rnacentral:rRNA from 1 species
UGGGGAAUAUUGCGCAAUGGACGAAAGUCUGACGCAGCGACGCCGCGUGUGGGAGGAAGCCCUUCGGGGUGUAAACCACUGUCAGGAGGGAAGAAUACCGACUGGUCCAACAGGCCAGGCGGGUGACGGUACCUCCAAAGGAAGCGCCGGCUAACUCCGUGCCAGCAGCCGCGGUAAGACGGAGGGCGCAAGCGUUGUUCGGAAUUACUGGGCGUAAAGCGCGGGCAGGCGGCCUGUUAAGUCUACUGUGAAAACCCGGGGCUCAACUCCGGGAAUGCAGUGGAUACUGGCAGGCUAGAGAAUGGUAGAGGCUAGCGGAAUUCCUGGUGUAGCGGUGGAAUGCGUAGAUAUCAGGAAGAACACCUGUGGCGAAGGCGGCUAGCUGGGCCAUUUCUGACGCUCAUCUGCGAAAGCGUGGGGAGCAAACAGGAUUAGAUACCCCCGUAGUCC